UAGUUGUUGUAGUUGUUGUAGUUGUUGUAGUUGAUUUAGUUGUUGUAGUUGUUGUAGUUGAUUUAGUUGUUGUAGAUGUUGUAGUUAUUGUAGUUGUUGUAGUUGAUUUAGUUGUUGUAGUAGUUCAUCUUGUUAUUGUAGUUGUUGUAGUUGUUAGCUUAAUAGAAAGAAGAGGAAGAAGAAGGGAAGAAGAUUAGAAGAGAAGAAGGGAAGAAGAGAAGAAGAAAAAAAAUGAGGAGGAGAAGAAGAGAAAAAAAA
rnacentral:lncRNA from 1 species